UGCCAUUUUCUUCAGAUCUGGUACUUGUAUUUUCUGGCAAAUCAGAGUUACGCAAGAGAAAUCACUCGGAUUCACUGCACAACCGAUGCCAAAGGUUGAAUCUUGCACCGAACCCUUUGCUCGAAAUUUCCCAGCUACCAUGUUUCCAAGCAGCAAGGGGCUAUCUGGUGCAUUACAAGAUUAAAACUUGAUAAUUUCAAAAUCCCAGUAAAAUCCACACAAUAAUUACAGAUAUCAAAAUUGAAGAAAAGGGAUACGCAACGGCGAAGUACCUGACGUGGGAAAUCUAUCAGUUGUACUUGCGGGAGCUUAAUGCCGGAAGAGAGAUUUUUACCUGCAUAAUAAAAAGGCAACACAAAAUACUCCAUUCACUAGACUAUCAGUGGUUAAGAAAACUCACAAGAAGCAGUGACUAAGAAAACGACCAUCAAAUAUGGCUGCCUACAUCUUUCUCCAUUUCAUUCAAAUUAUGC
rnacentral:lncRNA from 1 species